CGCAAACUUGAGCUUGUUUUCGACGCCCC
rnacentral:sRNA from 1 species